rnacentral:rRNA from 1 species
CGUGAGAUGUUGGGUUAAGUCCCGUAACGAGCGCAACCCUUGUCCUUAGUUACCAGCACGUUAUGGUGGGCACUCUAAGGAGACUGCCGGUGACAAACCGGAGGAGGGUGGGGAUGACGUCAAGUCAUCAUGGCCCUUACGGCCUGGGCUACACACGUGCUACAAUGGUCGGUACAGAGGGUUGCCAAGCCGCGAGGUGGAGCUAAUCCCAGAAAACCGAUCGUACUCCGGAUCGCAGUCUGCAACUCGACUGCGUGAAGUCGGAAUCGCUAGUAAUCGCGAAUCAGAAUGUCGCGGUGAAUACGUUCCCGGGCCUUGUACACACCGCCCGUCAC